rnacentral:rRNA from 1 species
GACGAACGCUGGCGGCGUGCUUAACACAUGCAAGUCGAACGGUAAGGCCCUUCGGGGUACACGAGUGGCGAACGGGUGAGUAACACGUGGGUGAUCUGCCCUGCACUUCGGGAUAAGUCUGGGAAACUGGGUCUAAUACCGGAUAGGACUCCUGGCUUCAUGGUUGGGGGUGGAAAGCUUUUGCGGUGUGGGAUGGGCCCGCGGCCUAUCAGCUUGUUGGUGGGGUAAUGGCCUACCAAGGCGACGACGGGUAGCCGGCCUGAGAGGGUGACCGGUCACACGGGGACUGAGAUACGGCCCAGACUCCGACGGGAGGCAGCAGUGGGGAAUAUUGCACAAUGGGCGCAAGCCUGAUGCAGCGACGCCGCGUGAGGGAUGACGGCCUUCGGGUUGUAAACCUCUUUCAGCUAUGACGAAGCGCAAGUGACGGUAGUAGCAGAAGAAGGACCGGCCAACUACGUGCCAGCCGCCGCCGUAA